CCCCGCGGCCCCCAAUGCCUAAGAGGAAGGUUAGCACGGAUGGAGCAGAGAAGGCGGAGCCCAAGCGCCGCUCCGCCAGGCUGUCGGCCAAGCCGGCCCCUGCCAAGGUGGACACGAAGCCGAAAAAGGCCGCGGGAAAGGAUAAAGCAUCAGACAAAAAAGUUCAGAUAAAAGGGAAGAGGGGAGCAAAGGGUAAACAGGCUGAAGUGGCCGACCAGCAAACCACAGAUCUGCCUGCAGAAAAUGGAGAGACGGAAAACCAGAGUCCGGCCUCUAGAGAAGAGAAAGAAGCCAAGUCCGACUAAGCAUCCAUCACAUCUGUCAGUGUCCCUGCCUCCCUUCUUGUACAAUCCAGAGGAAUAUUUUUAUCAACUAUUUUGUAAAUGCCAGUUUUUUAGUAGCUCUAGAAACAUUUUUAAAAGGUGAGGGAAUCCUACCUCAUCCCAUUUUUUAAGUGUAAAUGGUUUUUUCAAGAGUUUAAAUCAUUUGCUGGUUGUUUAUUUUUUUGGUACAACUAGAAAAUAGCAGGAUACUGAAUCAGGAGAGGCUGUGACUGUCUUGGGGGUCACCAUAACAUUCCGUAGAGGGGGCUAGUUUUAUAUCCUACAAUACAAGGCAGUUUGGAGUCUCAGUCGUGCAUUUGUGUCUGGAAUAUUUUCAGUUAUAUCCGUCCCGUGUUUCCAGUAGAACCAUUUUAUAAGAAAGUCAGUCUUUGGUCCUUGCCCUGUCAGAACUGUGAUGACUAUGGUCAUGGCAGUCCAUUUUCCUAACUGUUGUGAUAAUGUGCUGUGAAAGAUGGAACUUUUGAGUAUGUUCUGUGUGUGGCAUAAAAUUGUGAAUUGGUGAAACUGAGUAUUAUGAGCAUUUGGUUGUUAUGAGAGGUCUUAGGGAAACUUGCCAAGUUUGAGGCUGGAACAUCACUGGAAUAAGUUCAAAGAAAAACAAUACGUAGCUCUUCAUUUGCGUACAUGAACACAAUGUGACUCUUCAGAGUUUGGGUACGUCAACAGAAUAUAUGUUUUUUUUUUUUUUUUUUUUUGAGUACAUGUGAUAGGAAUUGGAAUGUCUGUGUACUCUGCUCCUUGACCAAUAAAAUCUGUUGUGAAAG